CAAAGGCACGCCUUCCGCCAGCGGCAGCAGUUUCUGGAGGGUCCGUCCCACCGUCCACGCCAGAGCAACCUGAGCAGAAGCACCACCACCACCGUCUACCUUUCCAUGCAGAGCUCCUGGAGGUGACCACAGAGGCGGAAGAGACCGUGAGGGGGAAUGACCACCGCCACCGCCACAAGCCUGUCCCUAGAAGAUUUAUACAGCGCGUGCGCCACCUCUAUUGUUGCCUAUGUUUCAUUUAUAUAGUGCACGACCACCGGAAGAAAGAAGAGUGAACCACCAGCAGGAACAGCCUUUUACCACCAGAAGCCUCACCAUCUUCGAUUUCCAACAGCCUGUGCCUGCGGCGGAACGUUCUAGCACAUCGCGUUCCGGAACCUUGACGAGAACCCAGCGGCGGAUGUGGGGGGGGGGGGCUCACCAUCUUCGAUUUCCAACAGCCUGUGCAUGCGGCGGUGGAACAUUCUAGCACAUCGACGAGAACCCAGUGGCGGAUGGGGGGGGGGAGUGGCAGCGGCCGGCAAGCUGAAGACAGCCAUGAAUGAAUGAAGGUUAUGACGCAACCAGCUGUCACCCUCUACCUUCCCCUGUGACCCGGAACCAGCUGUCAAAGGGACGCUUUCUUCACCACCAGGUUCCCCCGUCCAGCAUGGAGAUUACAUCUCUAGCAACGGAGCUGAUCCUGGAGCCCUCAGCGGCGGAGGUCCUGAGGGGAAACCGCCACAGCACGCCACAUGGGAAAAGGCUUGUCCAACGCAUCAUUUAACUUUUACCUUUGCCUGUGCUGCACGGUGCAUAACAAGGAGGACUGAAAGACCAGCAAAGGCACGCCUUCCACCAGCAGCCGGAGCAUCAGUCCCGCCGUUCACCACCAGUGCAACGUGAGCAGAAGCACCAUCUGUCCGGUGACCAACCUGCUGAGCUCCGGCGUGGCAUUGUCGUCGUUUGGCAGCCCCAGCAUCCCGGAGGUCCACGGCACGUUCGGGAGCCUCCACGGGGACCCGGUGGGGGCCGGCAACCUCACCCAGCGGAGCCAGUCAGUGCCGCUGAUGGCUCCCACCCACCCUUCUUUCUGGGAGGCCUCUGGAGCUGCCGCCCACCUGAACUCUCUGCCACGAAGAAGGCCACAAAGACACCGGGAAGGGGCUGCAAUUCAUUUUUAAUAAAGACGCCUUGCUGUGGCAGCAGAAAGAGAAUUUCCUCUUUUUACAGGUCUGUAAAUAAAACACAACAUGCUGGUCGAAAAAUAGGGCGCUCUCCACCUUCAGCAUCGCAUCUGAAGCACAUUCCCCAUGUAAAGGGAAAGGGGCCUUUGAUGUUUUGGCACAGAAUCGCCCCUGGAGCCGCCAUUCCAGGCCUCUCUUCGCCUUUUAUGAAGCAGACCGGCGGCGAGCGGUCAGGGCGCGUCUUCCAGGAGCGAGAGCAAAGCUGUAUUCCCGAUCCUUUCUAAACACGCCUUGGCCCCAGUCCCUUCAGGGCUGGCUGGCCGCCCGCCUGUAGCUUCUCCCUGGCGGCAGCCCCCGAGGACGCCGCCGGGGGCCAGGGGGCCUUUGGCAAA
rnacentral:lncRNA from 1 species